rnacentral:rRNA from 1 species
AGAGUUUGAUCAUGGCUCAGAUUGAACGCUGGCGGCAGGCCUAACACAUGCAAGUCGAGCGGUAGAGAGAAGCUUGCUUCUCUUGAGAGCGGCGGACGGGUGAGUAAUGCCUAGGAAUCUGCCUGGUAGUGGGGGAUAACGUUCGGAAACGGACGCUAAUACCGCAUACGUCCUACGGGAGAAAGCAGGGGACCUUCGGGCCUUGCGCUAUCAGAUGAGCCUAGGUCGGAUUAGCUAGUUGGUGAGGUAAUGGCUCACCAAGGCGACGAUCCGUAACUGGUCUGAGAGGAUGAUCAGUCACACUGGAAAUGAGACACGGUCCAGACUCCUACGGGAGGCAGCAGUGGGGAAUAUUGGACAAUGGGCGAAAGCCUGAUCCAGCCAUGCCGGGUGUGUGAAGAAGGU